rnacentral:sRNA from 1 species
GAAACACAGAAGACAAACU